CCGAGUUUACAACUCCCAAACCCCUGUGAACUUAUACCUUUACUGUUGCUUCGGCGGGUCAUUGCCCCGGGGAAAAGACAGGUGUGGCCGUCAGGUCUCCCUGCCCGACCCCCCGGAAACAGGCGCCCGCCGGGGGACUCAAACUCUCAUGUAUUUUUGUUUACUGUAUACUGUCUGAGUAAAAAUUACAAAUGAAUCA
rnacentral:misc_RNA from 1 species